GGCGAGGGGUCCCCGCCCGCCGCCGCCUCGGCAAUAUUUUUUUUUUCCUCUCUCCGACCUGGUCACACACGGUGUUUACUCGCAGACAAGGUUUGUUUUCGGUCUCCGCUAGGAUGAAGGAAAAAAAAAAAAAAGACACAAAAAAAAAAAAACCCUCACCAACCCCACUGCAAAACAAAACCCAAACAAAAAGGAAGGGAAAAAAAAAAACGAGAAAAAGAAAAAAAGAAAAAAAAGGGAAAACCCACGGAAAAAUAGAAAAUGAAAAGAAAAAAAGAGAACGAAAAACCCGACAGAAAAGGAAAGACAGAUGUGUGCCUAUGAAUAACCUUCCAGCGCCUUGGUUAUAUCAGCUGUAUUUCAGCCGAACCUCGGAGAAAACAAUACCCAGCCCUUCUGCCAGCAGUGUAGGGGGGAAAAAAUUACCUUUAGGAAUCCUGAGGAGCGGCCCGAGAAGGGAGUGAGCUCUGGUCUUCAAUAAGCAGCAGCAGCACGCGAGUGGACAGGCGCCUUCCCACUGCACUGCCAGCACACCACCCCUCCUGCACCUGGGAGCGAGAGGGAUUUGGGAUGUGAACAGUGGGCUAUGCAUUGUUUCUGAACCAUAAAACUGAUUUAUUUCAUUGCUAAAUCUCUGUGAGCUGCAGCACCACGGCCUUGGGGGCAACGGGCCUGCGGCCGCCCCUGCGCUGGGCAGCGGGGCCCGGGUGGCUCCACUGAGGGACCACGACCUCCAGCUCUCUCUCCAGAAGGAUUACAGCAGCAGCAGAAGGAAAUAUAACCCCCAAAAGGCCGAUUUUUCAGUCAGCUCCAGGAACAGGAUGAAUGCGGCAUGGUGACCAAAGCUCAGGAAUAAAGAGCCGUGGUUUGUAAACAGCCCCAGCUGAGGAGAUGGAGGAGAAGGUCCAGGUUAAAGCCAGCCCUGGUUAAAUCCAACCCGGGUUAAAGCCAGCCCUGCGUGCUCCUGGUGCCUCUGGGCCCAGGGAGGCAAAGCUCCUCAAGGCAGCUUUGGUUUGGAGGAGGGACAGAAGGCGUUUCACUGAAAUUAGCCUGUUUUAGAGCCCUUUGGCUGCUCUGUAAAUACAACCACAGCGAGGGCUGGGUUAUGUCUUAUUUUAAAACAAAUUAGGUUGAGACAAAAGGGAUGCAAUGAAAGACGAAAUCAAGUAAGUUUAUAAACAGAAGCACUUCAAAGGCUGCUGGAAAGCUGGAGAAAAUAGGAGAAUUUUGUCUAAAGAAAAGAAAAUCUCUGCUGGUUAUUGCCCAUCGAUUUCAGUGUUCCUGUGAGCAAAAGGAAACUCUUUUGUGCCACCUAAUGUUAAGUACAGAUCACUGUUGUCUUCUUCACUGCCCAUCAUCCGUGGUGAGCAUGGGGAGCCCUCAGGGUGCUGAGCCCAUCAAGGUGGAGCUCAGCAUCCCAAAGUCCCACCAAACCAAGGGCAGGGAGAGAGAAACUUCAGCUUCACAAUUACCUUCUGAAUUUAGGGAUUUUUUUUUUAAAAAAGAACUCAGGAGGGGGUGGAGAGAAGCACGGGGUAGAAUCAUAAGAAUGAGAGACUCCAAAUUUGGGCUUUGUUAUAAAAAAGUAGCUGCAGAACGAGCACAUUAGGGUUUAUAUAAGCUGCCCACCCCCAAGCUCCAUCUCAGCAGCCUCUGGGCUUGGGGGAGCUUCUCCCUCCGCUCUCCUCAAGAACCCAAGUGGCCUGGCCUUUGCACACCCGUCUCUCCCAGCUGGAAGAAUUUUGGUGUGUACUUAGCAGCUAUUCACAUUAAUUUAGUAUGUAAAUAUCUCACACAAUCCUUUAAGGAAAGAGCUGAAAGCAAGUGUUUCUCUGAUGACAAUAAAUUGCACCGUUUUUGUGAUUUUAAUGCUGAGUGUUAAAUGUCUUUAGCAAUUUUUGGGGCUGAAUCUUCCAUGCUUUCUAUAUUAUACUGAAAAAAAAAAAACCAACCAGAGGCUUCAUUUGAGUUAAGUUUUCAAUAUUUGUAAGGUAUGCUCUUUAAAGAUGGCCAGGACAUGUGAGAGGGUUCUCUUGAAAGAAAAAAAUUACUAGAAGUAGGCAGAGAUGCCAUUUCACUUUAGGUGGUCACUACAGAUCAUUCAAAAUAUGGACCAAUCAAUCCAUACCUAGGCU
rnacentral:lncRNA from 1 species